GAUUUGUCUGGUUAAUUCCGAUAACGAACGAGACUCUGGCCUAUUAAAUAGACGGUAUAUCUAGAAAAAGUAUACCGCGCUUCUUAGAGGGACAACCGGCGUCUAGCCGCGUGAAAUAGAGCAAUAACAGGUCUGUGAUGCCCUUAGAUGUCCGGGGCUGCACGCGCGCUACACUGAAAGAAUCAGUAUGCGCCGUCACCUAGUUCGGAAGAACCGGGUAACCCGAGCAAAUUCUUUCGUGCUUGGGAUAGGGAAUUGCAAUUAUUUCCCUUAAACGAGGAAUUCCCAGUAAAUGCGGGUCAUAAGCUCGCGUUGAUUACGUCCCUGCCCUUUGUA
rnacentral:rRNA from 1 species